GACGAACGCUGGCGGCGUGCUUAACACAUGCCAGUCGAACGGAAAGGCCUGCUUUCCCUUGUGGAUUGCGGGUACUCGAGUGGCGAACGGGUGAGUAACACGUGAGUGAUCUGCCCCCAACUUGGGUAUAAGCCUGGGAAACUGGGUCUAAUUCCCGAUAGGACUGCAGGGUGGUGCCUGUGGUGGAAAACGAUUUUCUAGUGGUUGGGGAUGAGCUCGCGGCCUAUCAGCUUGUUGGUGGGGUAAUGGCCUACCAAGGCGGCGACGGGUAGCCGGCCUGAGAGGGUGGACGGCCACAUUGGGACUGAGAUACGGCCCAGACUCCUACGGGAGGCAGCAGUGGGGAAUAUUGCACAAUGGGCGGAAGCCUGAUGCAGCGACGCCGCGUGGGGGAUGACGGCCCUCGGGUUGUAAACUCCUUUCGACCGCGAGGAAGCCACCUGGUUGGAAGGGUGGUGACGGUAGUGGUAGAAGAAGCACCGGCUAACUACGUG
rnacentral:rRNA from 1 species